rnacentral:rRNA from 1 species
GGCGAACGGGUGAGUAAUAUAUCGAACGUGCCAGUCGUGGGGGAUAACGUAGCGAAAGCUACGCUAAUACCGCAUACGAUCUAUGGAUGAAANCGGGGGAUCGCAAGACCUCGCGCGAUUGGAGCGGCCGAUAGUCAGAUUAGGUAGUUGGUGAGGUAAAGGCUCACCAAGCCGACGAUCUGUAGCUGGUCUGAGAGGACGACCAGCCACACUGGGACUGAGACACGGCCCAGACUCCUACGGGAGGCAGCAGUGGGGAAUUUUGGACAAUGGGCGCAAGCCUGAUCCAGCAAUGCCGCGUGCAGGAUGAAGGCCUUCGGGUUGUAACUGCUUUUGUACGGAACGAAACGGUGAGCUCUAAUACAGUUUGCUAAUGACGGUACCGUAAGAAUAAGCACCGGCUAACUACGUG